rnacentral:rRNA from 1 species
GUGGGGAAUAUUGGGCAAUGGGCGCAAGCCUGACCCAGCAACGCCGCGUGAAGGAAGAAGGCUUUCGGGUUGUAAACUUCUUUUAUGAGGGACGAAUAGAUGACGGUACCUCAUGAAUAAGCCACGGCUAACUACGUGCCAGCAGCCGCGGUAAUACGUAGGUGGCAAGCGUUAUCCGGAUUUACUGGGUGUAAAGGGCGUGUAGGCGGGACUGCAAGUCAGAUGUGAAAUUCCAGGGCUCAACCCUGGACCUGCAUUUGAAACUGUGGUUCUUGAGUGAUGGAGAGGCAGGCGGAAUUCCCUGUGUAGCGGUGAAAUGCGUAGAUAUAGGGAGGAACACCAGUGGCGAAGGCGGCCUGCUGGACAUUAACUGACGCUGAGGCGCGAAAGCGUGGGGAGCAAACAGGAUUAGAAACCCCGGUAGUCC